CGAUUAAUAUUUGGUUCUGAAAGUAUCAAAUAUACAUUAUAGAGCUACGGCACCCCGGAGAGCGGCGUUGGAGCUUCGCCCUCGGGCUCUGGUGACGGAUCGGCUGCCGUCUCCCCUCUGGGCGGUCUUCACGGUCUCCUUCUAUUCUCUUCGCGUGCUCAGGUGGUUCACGGGUCACGGCUGGCAUUGUGACUGGCUCGAGUCCCGGCAUCGGUUGAGCGACGGACUCGACACCCUGCGCCAUCUGGUGGAGGGGGGCCAACUGUCUCCCGUUCUCGAUAAGGUUUAUUUCCCUCAAGAUUUUGAAGCUGCGCUUGCGCACGCCUGUAGCGACGAGGCGGUCGGCACCACUGUUAUACGAUUUCCCUGAGACCUCAUGUGAUAUACACAAAUGUAUUGUUAAAGAAAUUGAUAUUUAUUUAAAAUUAUAUACUUUAGAACGAGGCACAAAGGAUUGCACAAUCUGUGCUUUUAUUCUUAUUAAUUGUUUAUAAAUUACAUUUAGGUCUACAUAUUUUUUUUAAAUUACUUUUAAUUUAAAUAUUUUACAGAUUUUUUAUAUAUUGUUCUUAGGUAACGAAUUUAUAAUAAACCAUAACAGUGCCAUUUAUUCGAUUUAAAGUGAAACUUUUAAAGAAAAACGCAAACGUUUACUUUUAACUCAAUAGUUAACGUAUGGGUUCAUAAUAUUGUAUUAUUUAUAAUUAGACCUUAUGUUAAAGAGACAAGGUUUGAUUUUCUAAACAUUUAUUAACUCGGUCGAUAUUCCUACAACAAACAAUAAAAUGCAAGUAUUAUAGGAAUCGCAAUCGCCUCCAUAGCUGAAUAAAUGUCCAUUUCCGGUUCCUGAAUAUAUUUUUGUAAAAGGUUUAAAAAAUAAGACUGCGCAACGGUAAAAUGCUUACGUAGAAAUAAGAGUUGUAAAAAUUUAUUUCAAAUGUCACAAUUUUAAAUGAAAAUUUAUUUAUUUUUAAUAUAUUUUUGUAUAUACUAGUUACAAAUAAAAUAUCUCAUUAUUCCGUCGUUUCACUCAUGCCGUCGAUCAGCGAACACGUUCUAAAGGAAUGUUAGAAAUAACACAAAUCCGUUCUACGCAAUACUUUAUUAACCUUAUAACACGUG